ensembl:lncRNA
CAUGGAGAACCCUCUGUGUAAAAUGUUCUACAUGUAACUCAAACGGAUAUUACCUGGAAACAAAAGGGUUAUCCUAUGGGGACAGCCGAAGAACCCGUUUGUAACACUUUUUUCUAAGAGUGUAGUCUAGGUAGGAUAAUGGUAUUGUCUCUAAACAAGAUCAGUAGGGGAGAUUCUUUUGCUGUAUAUCUCAUGUCUUCACUGUUAUUUCAUGUGCAAUGAUACACCUGGCCUCUCUGCCUAUCAGCUAUUCCUGUUUGUACUUGUAGAUUCAUAAUAUAAAAAAUGUAUGCAGCGUUGAAUGAUUUUGUGUGGUAUUAUUGUUAGUUAGCCUAUUGCAGAUGUGGAAAACCAUCAGUUAAAUGAGUUAAAUGCCAUGGAAAGUCAUUUAACUUGUAUAUUUGAUUUGGUACAUGGGAAUACAUACCUUUUGUGUUUAUAUUCCCAUGUGUACUACGUCAUCACGCACAGCCUUUUAUCUGCAACAAGUCAAUUUAAUGAGAACACAUCUCUGGUGGGAGAAUGCGGAUAAUGUUUUUAUGCAGAUUUUAGAAUAUUUGUCGCCAAUUGGAUGGAUAUCUAGCUACUGACAUGCUUCUCUUAACAUGUUUUUCAGGCUUUAAAGGUUGGACUAAAUUUGUUUUCAUGCGAACUGUCCAGUUUCUGAGGGAGCCUGAUUUCUCUAUACUGAGAGCCAGAGUUGACGUGACCAUGUUUAUCUGAAUGUUGUGGAAGUGUGCGGGAGCUUCUUUUUCCUUCUGUAUUCACCACCUGGACUGUGUGCACAACAGGGUGAACCCAUGCUGAGCCACGAGAUUGAUAUGCAAAUAUGAUCUCUGCCCUCUGUAUUUACAGUAUGUGCUGCAGUAUCUGGACUAAUGUAAACAUACAUACAGAGGCUCUUCUGUUUUGCCAGCACAUGUGUAGGCUAUAACCUGUUUAUGGGAAGGACACAGCCCCUGUUUAUACUGCAUGUGAGGAUGCUCCAGGAACAGUAGAAGGCAAAAUUAUCAUGCUGUGAAAGUUAACUGUGUUUGCAGGUGAUAAGGGGUGUGUUCAUUCCGCCGAUUCUGUUGAAAACAUUUCUUAAACACAAGCAAAUGGAACGAAACAGGGAUAAACAUAUCUGUAUUUGUCCAAUCUUGUUUGCAACUUUUUGGACUAAUGAUUUGUCACGCCCUGGUCUUAGUAUUUUGUGUUUUCUUUAUUAUUUUGUUUAGGCCAGGGUGUGACAUGGGUUUAUUAUGUGGUGUGUUUUUGUCUUUUUUUUUUUGUAGGUAUUGGAAUUGUGAUUAUAGUAGGGUUAUCUAGAAUAGUCUAUGGCUGUCUGGAGUGGUUCUCAGAGGCAGGUGUUUAUCGUUGUCUCUGAUUGGGAACCAUAUUUAGGCAGCCAUAUUCUUUGAGUAUUUCGUGGGUGAUUGUUCCUGUCUGUUUGUUUGCACCAGAUAGGCGGUUUAGGUUUUCACGUUACGUUUCUUGUUUUGUAUUGUUUGUGUUUAUUUGUUUAUUAAACAUGUAUCAAAAUUA